rnacentral:tRNA from 2 species
GCUGAUGCGACCCGAUGGUACGGGCGUUCGGCUCAUAACCGAAAGGCUAUGGGUUCGAAUCCCAUCAUCAGCA